CAUGAACAUAGAAGCAGAAUACUUAUGGGUGAUAGCAAGAUCAAGGUCAUGACCAUGUCUUUGUGAAGCAUGGUGAAAACUGAAGAUCUUUAAAAGUUGUAGUCAAGCAGGAUGGGGCACUGAAUGAACUAAGACAGGCGAUGUAACAGCUGAGCUGAAUUGUAUGGUUGAAAAUACCCCUAGGAAGUGAACUUUAACUGCUGUACAUUCCAAAAUAAGAGGGAGACAUGGUGUUCCAAAGAACAAUAGCGUCCACUGAAUUCACAUCUGAAUAAAUAGGCAAUUUGCUUAAU